rnacentral:rRNA from 1 species
AUGCAAAACCGGGUGGUGGUUGCUCUCCUUGCCCACUUCACCAACACAUUCGACGCCUUCUACCUCCUCGGUCGGGUGUUUUGGUGUGGCUCCGAGUUCAUCGCUUUCACCACCCACAAACAGGUUCACGGAGUACAACAACAUCUUCCCCACCGCGACGCGCAUGCACACUCUUCCGUACCCCAUCGACAACGCCCCGGAGGAGCAAUGAAAAGGGCGCUCGGAGGAGGAGCGAGGUGGAGAAGGCGGCGGCUAGGGAGCUCGACCACAAUACCUUGUACCAAAAGAUCAUACAUCGAACAUAAUAAGCAUGGCGUAAGGAGCGCCCUCUCGCGCUGUCCACAUUGGCAGAGGCGCACUGCGCGUUCCAGCAAAUGGAACGAGUGGAGGUCCUCGCGCUAUCAAUGUGGAGAGAGAAGAAAAGAAUGUGUGUGCUGUCGGCACCCAUAUCGAGCCCCUCGUUCUCUCCUUUUCCUUCACAGGCACGUCUUCUCCUCCCUACGUCUGUCUGGUCCCCUUCUCUCUUGUGCAUGUCACCUCCUCCCGGGCAUGACUAAUCGGAGCUCGUCGGCAACCUUCGCCCCGCUGCUCGUCACAACCUCCCUUCUGAAGCUCCGGCAGCGGUGCCUUCGUCGCCUCUCUCUCUCUCUCUCCUCUCUCUCUCUCUCUCAUGCUCCAGUAUUAGCUCACAUCCUCCUCCCUCUCGUCGGCGGCAAGCCGGUGGUGGUCUCCUCGGCUCCUUCCCGACCGGUCCGUGCGACGAGUAAUGGAGGGGAGCAGCACUACUUCGCCAUCAGGAGAGCCAUAGUUGCAAUGGCCACAACAUAUGCACCAACACUAUCAGCCAUGGAAUCGGCCAAUAGUGCUCAAAAUCAAGAUUUCAGCAAUGUUAGCUCAUUUGCAGAGAUUAAUUCCCCAAUGCUUGUCAUUACUGAUUCCAGUACAAUGAAAAAGAAACAAUCGUUCUUUCAAGAGCUCUGGAGCUUGACAGGUCAGCAACCAAAGUCGUUCGGGGAUUCUUUUGCUCAGCCCGAACGUUUCUUCCUCCCGCCGCACGUCUCUCUCCUUAUCCACUCCCACCUUCGCCCACAGCCACACCACUCGUUUUACUCGGCUCGAGAUGAGGAGGAGGACGAGCGCCGCGCUGCUCGCCGACGCGAAGCUCUAGGACGGCGCACUCCGGGUUCCCGCCGACCGGCUCAAGCGAGGCGAGUGGCCGCGGCGGCCGUCGAGGCCACCUCCGUCUGCGCGCACAUUGAUUGCUCGACCUGGCGGCCAUCAUCGAGGCUGGCGCGCUCCGGGUCCGCGCCGACCGACUCAACGAGGCGACGUGGGCGGAGAGCGAGCGCCGCCUGCUUGCCCGCGCCGCCGUCGAGGCCGCCUCCGUCUGCGCGCACCUAGCCGCCGUCCAUGGCCACUGUUGCGGCUGCUCUAAUCGCUCGGUGCGGCUAUCACCUCCCAUGCGGCUGGGCGUCCUUGCCGCAGGCCCGCAGCCACAGCCAGGGGGCAGCGCACCCUAUGGCUGCAAGAUUGGGGAGGCGCACUACUCGAUGACGGGCGUGGCGGUCCUCCGCAUCAUCUUUUGCUGCAAGGCUGCAGGGAAUCCAUGCUCGUCGUUGUUCGCUAGGUGACGCCGCAGCCGCAGGUCGAGCUUGACCACCACGGCGGCAAACUGCAAAAGGCAUUUGGAUCUUUUUCCACUGCAGGUGGCAACAUCCUCAACCCCCCGUCUUUUUUUUCAUUUUUGUUAGUUUGAUUAUCUGCAAAUUGAUGUGCCAUGACCCAGUAGAGGCACAUCCGAGUUUUGUGUUUAGUUUUCUCACCCCAAAUUGCAUCCCAUGACCCAGUAAACUAGUACAGAUGACAUGCCAUGACCCAGUGCACUAGUAGAUAUGUCAUGGCAAUUUUCACCCCCAUUCUGUACCAUGGUAUUUUUGUGAUAUGUAGUUUUCGAUCUGGUUCAGAACUGGUAGGGAUAUUCUAGGGCAAUUUCCAAUAUGCAGUGAACGGCAAAUUUAGAAUCGUUCCACCACAAUUUUUCCAUUUUGUUUUCUUAGGGAGAACCAAAUUUUGCCGCGCCAAAUUCAUACGUUCUGCCAUCACUACAUAGGAGUUCUUUUUUGCCAUGCCGUAGUUUUGCCAUCAAGUUUUACAUUUCUGUCAUAGUUUUGAUGUGUCAAUCGCAUUAUUUCUUCGAGCUGAUGCAUUUUAUUUUUGAAUUUUCAUGUAGCUAGCUGAGUAAUGUUAUGUCCUAUGAAAUUCGGUGACUUUCGUAACAUGGCAUUUCUGUCACAACAAUUCCAUUAUUUUUUGUCACAUGGCAUAUUCUGUCAUUUUUCAUUUUCCUAGUCUUUUUGUUCAUAACUUGGCAAAUUCAUUAAUGGUCACAUGGCAAAUUCAGCUAUGGUCAAAUGGGAAAUAUAUUAGAAAACUAUUUAACAUACAUGGCAAGUUUCUUUUUAAAGCAUGGCAAAUUUAGUUCAUGGAUCAUGGCAAAUUUUACUAAUUCACCAUGGCAAAUUUAGUUUAUGCAUCAUGACAUUUUUACUAAUUCACCAUGGCAAAUUGUAGUUAGAGACAAUAAUUCUAAAUUGUUAUAAUAAAGUUGCCAUGGCAAACUAUAAAAAGAAAAUAAUUCUAGGUUAGUUAUCAAGAAAGUUGCCAUGGCGAAAAAUUGUAAAUAGAGACAGUAAUUCUAAGUUGUUACCAAAAAUUUGCCAUGGAAAUUUGUUGAGACAAAAAUAAUUCUAAGUUGUUAUCAGAAAAGUUGCCAUGGCAAAUUAUAGAGAGACACAUAAUUCUAAGUUUCUAUCAGAAAGUUGCCAUGGAAAUUUCGUAGAGUGAUUUUUUUAAGUUGACAUCAGAAGGUUGCCAUGGCAAAUUGUAGAGAGAACUAAUUCGAAGUUAGUUAUCAGAAAAGUUUCCAUGGCAAUUUUAAGAUGUUAAAAAACAUGGCAAGGUUUUAGAUGUUCAAAAACAUUCCAACUUGCCAUGGCAAUGUUUCAGAUUUUCAAAAACAUUCCAACUUGCCAUGGCAACGUUAUAGAUGUUGAAAAACAUGGCAAACUUGCCAGGGCAACUUAAGAUGUUCAAAAAUAUGGCAAACUUACAGAUGUUCAAAAACAUGUUAAACUUGCCAUGCCAUUUUUAAAAUGUUCAAAACCAUUUGCAAACUUGCCACGGCAAACUAAAGAUGUGCAAAAACAUGGCAAACUUUUUUUAUUAAGUUCAUACAUAAAUAUGGCAAACUUCUUAAGAUGUUCAAAAACAUGGCAAACUUGCCAUGGCAACUAAAGAUGUUCGAAAUCAUGGCAACCUAAUAUGCUGAAAAACAUGGCAAACUUGCCAUGUCAACUAAAAUCACUAUUUGUUUGUAGUUGUGUUUUUUCCCACGACAACUUAUAUAGCCAUGGGUAAACUAACUUUUAAAUCCCAUGGAAAUUUUAAAUUAACUUGUAUAGCCAUGGGCAAUUAACUUUCAAAGCCCAUGGCAAAUUCACCAUUUUAUUGACAUGGCAAGUUUUGUUUCUUAUGUUUGGCAUGGCAACUUUUAUCCUUUAUCGCCAUGGCAUUUUUACUUAUGCAUGCAUGGCAAAUUUUACUUAUCAUUUACGACAAUUUUUACUUCUCAUUCUCCAUGGCAAAUAUACCUUCAUUUUUUGCCAUGGCAAUUUUCAGUUAGUGGAAAUAAUGCAUAAUUUUGCCAUGUUUCUUGUGCACCGAAUAUGCAUAAAUUUGCCAUGUCCUGGAAUACAUAAAUUUGCCCAUGUGACAAGUCUGAAAAUUUCAUAGUUUUGCCAUGUGACCAGGCAUGGAACUUGCCAUGCUAUGAACAAAUUCCAUAAACUUGCUUUUUUGUGACUAGUACUCCAAAAAAUACAUUCUACAUUUUCCAUUAUUCAGAUUGUAGCAUGGCAUUUUCCAGUUUAUUGGCACGGCAAUUUUUACUUUUCUUUUUUGUCAUGGGAAUUAUUUUUUGCCAUUGUAUUUUUGAAUUUUUUGCCCUGGCAACUUUCCCAUGCUUUUGUUAGGAAUCAAAUAUGUUGUAAACCUUGCUAUUUGUAAAAUUAUAUCAUGGAAAAUCAUAAAAUAGUUUGGUCAAACUCGAAUGGUACUUUUUGAAAUUCUCCCUGGCAUUUUUCUGCUUCUAAAGUUGAUGACAUUUUUUUUGUAGUAUAGCAAAAACUAGUCUUUUUAUUUGUCACAGAAAAAGUAAACAGAAUCUGGGCUUCUUCUUUUGUUGUGCUAUUGGGCUUUUUUUUCUUUUUCAUUUUACAUGAAAAAGGCCCGGGCCUGGGGAGGGCGUUCGUGAUUUCGAUGCUCUCUCCUCCCGAAGGCAAAUUUGACAAAUUUGACCUAGAGACGAAAUCAAAUCACAGAAUGAACUGUCCGUGAAACUAUUUCACGCGGCUGACCCGUGGCGCCUAGCUCUCAGGCGCUGCACUAGUGCAACACCUGGGAGCUAGGCGCUGCACUAGUGCAACGCCUGGUAGCUAGGCGCUACACUGUAUAGUGUGGCGCUUAGCUCUCAGGUGCUGCACACUGACUUAGUAAUUUUCUGAUCACACGGGUGCGACGCUGGCCGUGUAGCGCCUAUCUGUGAGGCGUUGCACAGUGUAGUGUGGCGCCUUCGUGUCGGGCGUCACACAAAAAGGUCAGCCGCGUGAAAUAGUUUCACGGAUAGUUCAUUCUGUGAUUUGAUUUCGUCUAUAGGUCAAAUUUGUCAAAAAUUGCCCCUGCCGAACGAAAGCGUUCGUGAGGGGUCCAGACCGAACAUUCGGGAGAUAUCGGCGUCCUAUUUGUUUUGUCGCUGCGACUGGGCCUGUGUGUUCUGGUCCCGCCUGUAAGUUCAAAGGGUAGAAGUGGGUCGGUUCAUUUGAAACUUACAGCGCCUCGGUGCCUGGGUUUGUCAGGGAUGCACUGUGAUCACAUUCGUUGAACCGUCGUGGUGGGUGGGUGCGCAGCCCUCGCAGUUUUCUCCCCCCGCACCCCUCUCCUUGCCGAUCUCGCCAGUCGCUUGUCCUCAACCCCACCUUCAGCUUGCCUCUCGACCUUCCUCGUUGCUCACUUCGCCUGGCUCCGCCUUCCCAUCCCCACGGUGGAGUGCGAGGACGAGAUGACGACCGGGUCAUCCGUCAGCCUCGCCGCCGGGGAGCAGUCGGCCCGCGGUCGCGCGGUGCUCUCCGGCCCGCCGAACACGGUCCUGGCAUCGUCCGCGUCGGCGAUGGGCCCGUCGAUGUCGGCCCCCUCGGCGCUACGAGGGGCAAGGGCAGCCACGGCUCGCACGAGAUGCAGCUCCUGCUCGUGGAGUUAAAGGCCGGUGUUGGGGCCCUCAGCGGCGAGGAGGACGACUUGUCGUGUGUACGCAGUUUUCCUCCCGCUCGUGGAGUGCGCGUUUCGGGCCAGCCUCGAGGGUGGCCGUCCGGACGGCGACGAGCUUCGUCUCUGCAUCCAGACCUGCGACGCCGGCAGGCACGCCACUUCUUCGCCCCUCAGUCGCCGGUGCUUUCGUUCUGUCUACGGCGAUGGGGUUGCUUCCUCUGCUCCAUUCAUGUCGCUGAGGUUUUGUGAUGUUUGCCUGUUUCUCGCUCUGGAGUAGGUCCCUGCGUCAAUCUUGCCUUCGGCAUUGAGAUAUUGCAAGGCAUCUUCUUCCCGUCUCAGUAAUCAAAAAGUGCACCAUUGGACUGAUGUACCGGAAAGGGUAGUGCCACUGGAGAUAAUUAUUUCAGAUCACCUUCUACUUGAUGGAAGUCAUUAUCAGAAUGUAUGCAUACAACAACAACAACAACAACAACAAAGCCUUUAGUCCCAAACAAGUUGGGGUAGGCUAGAGGUGAAACCCAUAAGAUCUCGCAACCAACUCAUGGCUCUGGCACAUGGAUAGCAAGCUUCCACGCACCCCUGUCCAUAGCUAGCUCUUUGGUGAUACUCCAAUCCUUCAGGUCUCUCUUAACGGACUCCUCCCAUGUCAAAUUCGGUCUACCCCGCCCUCUCUUGACAUUCUCCGCAUGCUUUAGCCGUCCGCUAUGCACUGGAGCUUCUGGAGGCCUGCGCUGAAUAUGCCCAAACCAUCUCAGACGAUGUUGGACAAGCUUCUCCUCAAUUGGUGCUACCCCAACUCUAUCUCGUAUAUCAUCAUUCCGGACUCGAUCCUUCCUCGUGUGGCCACACAUCCAUCUCAACAUACGCAUCUCCGCCACACCUAAUUGUUGAACAUGUCGCCUUUUAGUCGGCCAACACUCCGCGCCAUACAACAUUGCGGGUCGAACCGCCGUCCUGUAGAACUUGCCUUUUAGCUUUUUUGGCACUCUCUUGUCACAGAGAAUGCCAGAAGCUUGGCGCCACUUCAUCCAUCCGGCUUUGAUUCGAUGGUUCACAUCUUCAUCAAUACCCCCAUCCUCCUGCAACAUUGACCCCAAAUACCAAAAGGUGUCCUUCCGAGGUACCACCCGGCCAUCAAGGCUAACCUCCUCCUCACACCUAGUAGUACUGAAACCGCACAUCAUGUACUCGGUUUUAGUUCUACUAAGCCUAAACCCUUUCGAUUCCAAGGUUUGUCUCCAUAACUCUAACUUCCUAUUUACCCCCGUCCGACUAUCGUCAACUAGCACCACAUCAUCUGCAAAGAGCAUACACCAUGGGAUAUCUCCUUGUAUAUCCCUUGUGACCUCAUCCAUCACCAAUGCAAAAAGAUAAGGGCUCAAAGCUGACCCCUGAUGUAGUCCUAUCUUAAUCGGGAAGUCAUCGGUCUCGACAUCACUUGUUCGAACACUUGUCACAACAUUAUCGUACAUGUCCUUGAUGAGGGUAAUGUACUUUGCUGGGACUUUGUGUUUCUCCAAGGCCCACCACAUGACAUUCCGCGGUAUCUUAUCAUAGGCCUUCUCCAAGUCAAUGAACACCAUAUGCAAGUCCUUCUUUUGCUCCCUAUAUCUCUCCAUAAGUUGUCGUACCAAGAAAAUGGCUUCCAUGGUCGACCUCCCAGGCAUGAAACCAAACUGAUUUUUGGUCACGCUUGUCAUUCUUCUUAAGCGGUGCUCAAUGACUCUCUCCCAUAGCUUCAUUGUAUGCCUCAUCAGCUUAAUUCCACGGUAAUUAGUACAACUCUGAACAUCCCCCUUGUUCUUGAAGAUUGGUACUAAUAUACUCCGUCUCCAUUCUUCUGGCAUCUUGUUUGCCCGAAAAAUGAGGUUGAAAAGCUUGGUUAGCCAUACUAUCGCUAUGUCCCCGAGACCUUUCCACACCUCAAUGGGGAUACAAUCAGGGCCCAUCGCCUUGCCUCCUUUCAUCCUUUUUAAAGCCUCCUUCACCUCAGACUCCUGGAUUCGCCGCACAAAACGCAUGCUGGUCUCAUCAAAGGAGUCGUCCAGUUCAAUGGUAGAACUCUCAUUCUCCCCAUUGAACAGCUUGUCGAAGUACUCCCGCCAUCUAUGCUUAAUCUCCUCGUCCUUCACCAAGAGUUGGCCUGCUCCGUCCUUGAUGCAUUUGACUUGGCCAAUAUCCCUCGUCUUCCUCUCUCGGAUCUUGGCCAUCUUAUAGAUGUCCCUUUCACCUUCCUUCGUGCCUAACCGUUGGUAGAGGUCCUCAUAUGCCCGACCCCUUGCUUCACCAACAGCUCGCUUUGCGGCCUUCUUCGCCAUCUUGUACUUCUCUAUGUUGUCUGCACUCCUAUCCAGGUAUAGGCGUCUGAAGCAAUCUUUCUUCUCUUUAAUCGCCUUCUGGACAUCAUCAUUCCACCACCAGGUAUCCUUAUCUUCGCUUCUCCUUCCCCUGGACACUCCAAACUCCUCCGAGGCCACCUUACGAAUGCAAGUCGCCAUCUUCAUCCACACAUUGUCCUCAUCCCCUCCUUCCUCCCAAGGGCCCUCCUUAAUGACCCUCUCCUUGAACACCUGAGCUACCUCCCCCUUGAGCUUCCACCACUUCGUUCUAGCAACUUUGGCACGCUUAUCCCGCUGGACACGAAUCCGAAAGUGGAAGUCAGCAACCACCAACUUAUGCUGGGGUACAACACUCUCUCCAGGUAUCACCUUACAGUCUAGGCACGCACGCCUAUCUUCUCUUCUCGAGAGGAUGAAAUCAAUCUGGCUAGUGUUGGCCACUACUAAAAGUCACCAGAUGUGAUUCUCUCUUUCUAAAGAGGGUGUUAGCUACAAUCAUGUUGUAGGCUAGAGCAAAGCUUAAGACAUCUUCUCCUUCUUGAUUCCUGAUGCCAUAGCCAAAGCCCCCAUGCGCCCCUUCAAAACCUGUGUUAGAUGUACCCACGUGGCCAUUGAGGUCUCCUCCUAUGAAGAGCUUCUCACCAAUUGGUACACUCCUAACCUAACCAUGUCUUCCAGGCCUUCCCAGAACUCCCUCUUGGUGUUCUCAUUGUGGCCUACUUGCGGGGCAUACGCGCUGAUAACAUUGAGAACCAAGUCCUCAACUACCAGCUUGACCAGGAUAAUCCGGUCCCCAUGUCUCUUGACGUCUACCACUCCAUACUUGAGGCUCUUGUUGAUCAAGAUGCCUACGCCAUUUCUGUUUGCAGCCGUCCCCGUGUACCACAGCUUGAAGCCGGUAUCGUCCACCUCCUUCGCCUUCUGUCCUCUCCAUUUGGUUUCUUGGACGCAAAGGAUAUCAACCCCUCUCCUCACCGCUGCAUCAACUAGCUCCCGAAGCUUCCCUGUCAGAGACCCUACGUUCCAGCUACCUAAGCGAAUCCUCCUAGGCUCGGCUAGCUUCCUUACCCUUCGCACUCGUCGAGUCAAAUGCGAAGACCCUUGCUCAUUUUCCACUACAUCCGGGCGCCGAUGUAGCGUGCCACUAAGGAUGCGACGACCUGAUCCUCGCUCACUUGCCACCGUAUCCGGAUCAAGAUACGGCGCGCCACUUGGGGGGUGACGGCCCGGCCCUUGCCCAUUUUCCACCACACCCGGGUUCCGAUGUGGCGCGUCCGCUGCAUCAGAAUGUAUGCAUCAUCGUGGUAUUUACUCAUGUACUAUGAAAUUAAACUGAGCUAACUGAAUUAUCUUUGCAAAAAAAUAUUAGACCAUGUAUAUUACCAAGUGUGUUCUUAUUUUUCGCUUUUCAGGUAGUUGUUAUAGGGGAGAACAAAGUAUUAAUAUUGCUGAUUUGUAAUAUAGAAUGAUCCUUAUGGUCAGAUUUGGCUAAAUUUUUAUGAAUGUGUCGCUUGAGUGUCCCAAAUAUGUGCUGGAUUUGAUUAGUAUGUUGUAUGCUUGCUAUGUUCCAGCCUUCCAGGAGGAUUGUUCUGGGAAUACAUUGACAAACAUGUUCUGCUUUUAAUGUUAUUUCUGUACAUAAAACAUACCAAAUUAAGAACUAAUGUACCCUUCUUACUUGGAAAUAGCUUGAUCUGGUUGGAGAUGUUCUAGCAUUCAGCGUGGGUUCUUGGGUUAGGCUGGCUUCUAGGAUUGACCGAUGCUAAAUUAAGAACUAGGAUUUGGCAGCAGGCAUGGUCUGUCCGGCGUGCUCAAGCCUUUUAGGUUGUUAUUAUCAUUUACAAUUAGGUUAUGCUAAACCAGCAAAUAGAGCUUCACCAUUUAAAAUUUUGAUCCACCAAUGGUGCUCCAGUGAUUUCUACUUAUUUGUUGUCGUGUCUUGGUAGUUUGAUAGAAUAGGGCAUGCUUUUCAUAUAGUUUCGUUACAUGAUGUUACAUCGGUUUUCUGACAGAUUAAUCCAUCACAAGCAAACAAAAUAGGAGACAAGGCAUCAUGAAGCAACCAUAGCAGGCUAUGACAAUUGGUUGUAAUAAAUAAAUGGAGAAUACCCACUGGACAGAAGUUUCUGAGCUAAAUAUGUUAGCCAUCCUAAACCCACUAAAAAACAAAAGAGAACAAUACCGAACCUGAGUAGUAUUUCAAUUUUAUUUCAUAUUAUUUCAUAUAUAUCUGUCAUCAUAUAAGUAUAUUGCAAAUAGAAGGGCUAAAAACAACUGUAGAAUUUCUGCCAAAUGAAGCUAUGCAAUAUAUGGAGCUAACUUGCAAUAGGAUCCCAUGGGAUUACAACUAUGAGAAGGACAGUCUGCUAAGAAAGAAAUUCAGUCCACUCAAAACGAAAAUCAGUCUCUUUUGCGUCAGAUUGAACAAAAAAAAAAGAGACAAGGCCAUCAACAGCCUAACAAAAGGUUGGGGUGGUGCGCUAGACACUGGCUAUGACACCAAGGAUGAGCUUCAAUGUAUAAGAUAUGUCAGAGUGUCGGCUUAAUCAUGCCUUGCUUCAUGUGCAGUAUGUUGAACUCACCUUGAUGAAUCAACCUUGGUCUCAGUCUCUCAAAUGAUAUGCUGCAGCAAACAAAGUCAGGACCUUGCUAUUCAGAUGAUGAACAGCAGUGCUGAUGAGUUGGGUGCUUUCAACUAUGAUAGCUCGGAUGAAGAACUCUACCGCUCAGGUUUGAUCUCUACCAGCACAAGAAGCUUGAUGAGCAAGAAGCACUAGAACUGGAGGCAAAAGGCUGUAGCUUUUCUGUUCUGUAUAACCAUUCUAGCCAAGUUGAUGGAGUUUCUAAUGUCACUGCUUGUUGAGCUGUGAUUUAUUUUCGCCGUUCAUAAUCAGUCUUGCCCAUGAUGUACCACAAAUGAUCCUCUAAUGCAAUGUAACACUUGAUAUGUAUUUAUGUCUCUUCUGUUGGUUCAUGAUUGUGAUUGUGCAGUUUGAAAUCUA